CUUUUAUAAAAAUACUAUUAAGCUUUCUUCUAUGAUCUCACAGAAAUUAUGAGAUAUUGUUUUCAAAAUAAAUUAUACUAAUUAAAAAAUCAUCCAUAAUUGUUUUAGUCUUGAUGAAUGGCUGGUCCUAUUGAAAGAUAGGAAGGUCAUUAAGUGGCCGCUGGUUCACAUUCGUACUGGCUUCUGCUGGAACAAGAUUACUUGAGGCCUCUUCUCCACUUACAUUUGCCAUCUUUAAGAAAUAACUGUGCCUGUAAAAACAAAUCUUUUGAACUUCAUAUCAUACCAUAUAACUGUAAAAUUCAAAAGUCAAAAUCAACUUAUAUAUACCACCGAGUAUCAGCAGUCAAUUCAGGAUUGAAAGAUAGGAAGGUCAUUAAGUGGCCGCUGGUUCACAUUCGUACUGGCUUCUGCUGGAACAAGACUACUUGAGGCCUCUUCUCCACUUACAUUUGCCAUCUUUAAGAAAUAACUGUGCCUGCAAA
rnacentral:lncRNA from 1 species